GUUGGUGGGAGGAGAAAACUGAUUUUUGAUAAUACAUUUCAGUAAAAACCUUGUUAUUUUGGAAAAACACUCCUUUGAACAGUUUUUGGACACAUUUUAGUGGAUAAAGGAACCAAGAAUUUGGACCUGAAGUAUACAUGGUAUUUUACUGCACUAUGAACAGAUAAGUAUUAAUUAUAAUUAACGGGGUUUUUGUUACACUGUAUGCAUUAAGAAACUAACAAUUAGCAUUUGCUCUUGAAUUUUAGUGCUUGUUUUCAGAAGAGUUAUCACAGGAUUUUGACAGGAACUUUUCUGUUGGCUGGGAGUUGCUGAUAAAACCCCAAAGGCAAAAUCUCGUGUUCUUCUGCAUUCUAAAGGGUACCACAAGGCUCGGACACCCUGUCCCAUAGGAGACUCUAGGAGGUUUAAGAUUCACACAACUUCUUGCUCUUGGGCCUCCACUGACAUGUUACCAUAUAACAAGGUUCAGAUCCAGAGGAGAGGGGCCUUAUAGUCCUGGGGUGAAGGCCUCUGCCCUUUCCAUAGGAUGGGGAGGGGUGGGGGGGACUCCGACACCAAGAGAAUAACUGGAGAUAUUGGGGACGUCAGAAAUCCUUGGAGCUUGGUGGCUUCAUCUCCAGCAAACCACAGGCCCCCUUCUUGGGAGAGCUUGCCGUGUACCUACCUCUGAAGAGUGUAUAUGCGGUGGUGAGGGGUGGGGAGGAACAAAACACAGGCAGGGGCGAAACGAGAUUUCUGAAGGAGGGGCGGCUGCUGCUGGAGUAGGCCCUACCAGCAGAUCAUGAAGCCCUCUAAGGGUCCGAGUUCAUGUUGUGCCUAGGAAGCAAGGGAUAAGGCCACUCCAACUGUUUUCUUUGCUGCCAAAGAUCCCAAGGCAGGAUUUCACUAGACGCUGAAGAGGGUGACUAUAUAAAGUGACCAUUGAAACCAAGACCCUUGAGAAUGAAUGGGGAGCUAACCAAACAAGAAGCUGGGGGCGGUUCUCGAAAACCGCGGCAAACCUUUUCUCUGUGCCUGGGGGUCUCAGAAGAGGGAAGGAAAAUAGGAUGGCAGGAGCCAUAGGGCUGUGACCCAGUGACUGCCGCACCAAGCUAGGGGAUGACCCAUCUGGCAAGGGGUUAAAAAAAAAAAAAUGCAAGCACUGCAUGGGGCCAAAGAGAUGAGAGACCGCCCGCUGUGAAUGAACACUUGGGACUGGGGCGAAGUUGAAUGCCGCGCCCAGACAGGUGCGCAUCUCCCGAUGAGGGCAGGCCACCGGCCCCCAAACAGGACCUAACGCGGCAAACGGGCAUCUUCUUUCUCCUUCGCUCUCCCCUCACCCAUGCGCGGAGCAGGCAGGGCAUUCGGCCACCUGAGAGUAAGGUAUGAGUUUGGAGUUUUAAACAGGGCUAGACUGUAAAUUUCAAUAUCCAUUAGUAAGCACAAAUUGGCUUUCCCUCAGGUUAAGCAUCUUAAAAGGGGAUGUGACAGCGUGGCGGCGGUGAGAAGGCAGGUUAGAAGGGUUUGUACCACCAAAUUUCGAAUUAGUAAUAGGAAGAGCUAAGUGUGCCCUUUUAAAGAGGUGAAAGGAGGCCCACUUGCGUCCCCUCACAUUUUACGGGCGCUAGGUGGGAAGCGGGGUGAGUACGCGCACCAAGAGGGCCUCCGCCUGCCGAGACGCGUGGCGCGGCUGGAGACUACAUUCCCCGAAAGCCUUGGCGUCGGCGCACUUAUGCCACCGUGUCUGACGUCAUCCGCCGCUGACACCCGCACACCCAGUUCCAGUCUGCGUCGACGUGGCCAUCGCGUUGUGUGCGCGGAGUGCAAAGGAGCAAGGGCGUUCGCGACCUGUGCCCAGCGUCCUGCUCCCGGGGCCAGGCUACCCUCUUCCAGUGGCCGCCACCAGCCACGGGAGUCCCAUGACCAGAAAACUCCAGGCCAGGCCCCGCCCCUCUUCUCCCCGCGCUUCGCCCUAAUAGCACGACCAUUUCCAAUCAUGUGACCUACCCGACAAAAUGGGGAUAAGUUCAACCAAAUGGGAUUGUGUAGCAGGAAGAGGAGAUGAUUACACCAUCACUUCUGCCAUACUGUACUGGUUAGAAGCGAAUCAGCCCACAUUCAUGGGGUGUGAACACCAGGACGCACAGUUGUUGUAGGGGGACUUUAGAGGCUGUCUACUACAAUGACAUAAUUAUUAACUCUACUUUAUAGAAAGAGCUGACCCUACUCAAAAGAGAAUAUUGCAAGAGUAACAGUGUGUGAUUUCCAAGACUGGGUGAUAAAAGACAUUGCAACAUCCUCCCUGCCAUCUCUUGGGUCACCAACCUUAAGGGAAGCCAGCUGUCAUGGUGUGAAGACGCUGAAGCAGACCUAUGGAGAGGUCUAAGAGGAAAUGAGACCUCCUGCCAACAGUUAGCACCAAUUUUCCAGCCAUGUAAGUGAACCAUCUUGAAUGAUGCUCAAACCCUAGUCAAGCCUUCAGAUGACAUCAGCCCCAGCGACAUCUUAACUGCAUUCUCAUGAUAGAUCCCAAGCUAAAACCACUCAGUCAAGCCAUUCCCAAAUUCCUGACCCAUAGGAACUUAUGUAGGAUAAUAAAUGUUUAUCUUGUUUUAAUUCAUUAGGAUUUUUGAUAAUUUGUUACACAGGAAUGGAUAAACCGAUACUUACUUUAUUGUCGUUGUUCUCUUUCACCUUUUAUUUUUUUAAGCAAGCUCUAUGCCCAACGUGGGGCUUGAACUCACCACCCUGUGAUCAAGAGUCAGACUCUCUACCAACUGA